rnacentral:rRNA from 1 species
UACGUAGGGUGCAAGCGUUGUCCGGAAUUAUUGGGCGUAAAGAGCUCGUAGGCGGUUCGUCGCGUCGGCUGUGAAAUCCCGAGGCUCAACCUCGGGUCUGCAGUCGAUACGGGCGGACUGGAGUUCGGCAGGGGAGACUGGAAUUCCUGGUGUAGCGGUGAAAUGCGCAGAUAUCAGGAGGAACACCGGUGGCGAAAGGGCGGGGUC